AAAAAAAAAGUGCACCUUUGCUUGUCCACUCGUUACUUGUCACCAUCCAUCUUCUCCUCCUUCAAAACAAAUGGGCCCCAUGGUCAGUUGCCAUGAGCAUUUGAUAUAUUUUAUUGAACUGAGUCUUGAUAUGUGAUAUAACAGACUAAACCCCUUAUUACUUUAGCUCUAACUCUGUAACCAUGCAUCAUAUUUCAGACUCGGGUAUAUAGGACUCUAAAAAUUGGGGGAGACUACAUUUCUAUUACAAUAGAUUUACAAAAAUGUAGGAAAGUAUGUUGAGAUAUCCUUGCUGUUUUUCUUAAUUUAGUAAAACUUUGAAAUGAUUAAGAUAACUUAGAAUUCAAGGCAGUGAGAGCUUAGUGGAAUAAGUUUUCCCUUGACCUAGCUCAUUUUUCUUUUUUACAUUAGUUUUACCCAGACACGACUGAGCG
rnacentral:lncRNA from 1 species